AACGAACGCUGGCGGCGUGCCUAACACAUGCAAGUCGAACGGAGUCAUUUUGAAGUAGCAAUACGGAAGAAUGACUUAGUGGCGCACGGGUGAGUAACACGUAGGUAACCUGCCCUUAAGAGGGGGAAAACCCGCCGAAAGGCGAGCUAAUACCGCAUAAGACCACGAACUGAGAUGUUUGUGGUAAAAGUCCCGAUGCAAAUCGGGACACUUAAGGAUGGGCCUGCGGCCUAUCAGGUAGUUGGUGAGGUAACGGCUCACCAAGCCUAAGACGGGUAGCCGGUCUGAGAGGACGGACGGCCACACUGGAACUGAGACACGGUCCAGACUCCUACGGGAGGCAGCAGUGGGGAAUUUUGCACAAUGGGCGAAAGCCUGAUGCAGCGACGCCGCGUGGAGGAUGAAGGUUUUCGGAUUGUAAACUCCUUUUUGAGGGGAAAAUAAUGAUGGUACCCUGCGAAUAAGCCACGGCUAACUCUGUGCCAGCAGCCGCGGUAAGACAGAGGUGGCGAGCGUUGUUCGGAAUUACUGGGCUUAAAGGGCGCGCUAGGCGGUAAGAUAAGUCUGUGGUGAAAUCCUAUGGCUUAACCAUAGAAUUGCCAUGGAAACUGUUUUACUUGAGUCAGCGAGGGGAUGGUGGAAUUCCUGGUGUAGCAGUGAAAUGCGUAGAUAUCCGGAGGAAGGCCGGUGGCGAAGGCGGCCAUCUGGCGCUGAACUGACGCUGAGGCGCGAAAGCGUGGGUAGCAAACAGGAUUAGAUACCCUGGUAGUCCACGCCCUAAACGGUGGGCAUUAGGUGUAGGGCUCGUAAGGGUUCUGUGCCGUAGGGAAACCAUUAAAUGCCCCGCCUGGGGAGUACGGCCGCAAGGUUA
rnacentral:rRNA from 1 species